rnacentral:tRNA from 2 species
GCGCCCGUAGCUCAGUUGGAUAGAGCACUUGGCUACGAACUAAGGGGUCGGGAGUUCGAAUCUCUCCGGGCGCGCCA